AGCGUUAUUCCCGAUUUAUUGGGUUUAAGGUUCGUAAGCCGGGCCGAUAAGUCAGUGGCGGAAUUCCGCAGCUUACUGUGGAAACUGCCAUUGAUACUGUCGGUCUUGAGUAAAUUUGAAGUGGCUGGAAUAAGUAGUGUAGCGGUGAAAUGCAUAGAUAUUACUUAGAACACCAAUUGCGAAGGCAGGUCACUAAGAUUUAACUGACGCUGAGGGACGAAAGCGUGGGGAGCGAACAGGAUUAGAUACCCUGGUAGUCCACGCCGUAAACGAUGCUAACUCGUUUUUGGAUUUUCGGAUUCAGAGACCAAGCGAAAGUGAUAAGUUAGCCACCUGGGGAGUACGAUCGCAAGAUUGAAACUCAAAGGAAUUGACGGGGGCCCGCACAAGCGGUGGAUUAUGUGGUUUAAUUCGAUGAUACGCGAGGAACCUUACCAAGACUUAAAUGGGAAUUGACAGAUUUAGAAAUAGAUCCUCCUUCGGGCAAUUUUCAAGGUGCUGCAUGGUUGUCGUCAGCUCGUGCCGUGAGGUGUUAGGUUAAGUCCUGCAACGAGCGCAACCCCUGUCACUAGUUGCUAACAUUAAGUUGAGGACUCUAGUGAGACUGCCUACGCAAGUAGAGAGGAAGGUGGGGAUGACGUCAAAUCAUCACGGCCCUUACGUCUUGGGCCACACACGUAAUACAAUGGCCGGUACAGAGGGCAGCUACACAGCGAUGUGAUGCAAAUCUCGAAAGCCGGUCUCAGUUCGGAUUGGAGUCUGCAACUCGACUCUAUGAAGCUGGAAUCGCUAGUAAUCGCGCAUCAGCCAUGGCGCGGUGAAUACGUUCCCGGGCCGUGCCCUUCCCGCCCGUC
rnacentral:rRNA from 1 species